rnacentral:rRNA from 1 species
CCUACGGGGGGCAGCAGUGAGGAAUAUUGGUCAAUGGACGAGAGUCUGAACCAGCAAAGUAGCGUGAAGGAUGACUGCCCUCUGGGUUGUAAACUUCUUUUAUAUGGGAAUAAAACGUCCCACGUGUGGGAUUUUGUAUGUACCAUAUGAAUACGGAUCGGCUAACUCCGUGCCAGCAGCCGCGGUAAUACGGAGGGUCCGAGCGUUAGCCGGAUUUAUUGGGUUUAAAGGGAGCGUAGGGGGAUUGUUAAGUCAGUUGUGAAAGUUUCCGGCUCAACCGGAAAAUUGGAGUUGAAACUGGCAGUCUUGAGUACAGUAGAGGUGGGCGGAAUGCGUGGUGUAGCGGUGAAAUGCUUAGAUAUAACGAAGAACUCCGAUUGCGAAGGCAGUUCACUGGACUGCAACUGACACUGAGGCUCGAAAGUGUGGGUAUCAAACAGGAUUAGAUACCCUGGUAGUC